rnacentral:rRNA from 1 species
GAUGAACGCUGGCGGCGUGCUUAACACAUGCAAGUCGAACGGUGAACGAGGGAGCUUGCUCCCUCCGGAUCAGUGGCGAACGGGUGAGUAACACGUGAGCAAUCUGCCCUGGACUCUGGGAUAAGCGUUGGAAACGACGUCUAAUACCGGAUACGAGGCGUGGGGGCAUCCCCAACGCCUGGAAAGAACUUCGGUCCAGGAUGAGCUCGCGGCCUAUCAGCUAGUUGGUGAGGUAACGGCUCACCAAGGCGACGACGGGUAGCCGGCCUGAGAGGGGAACGGGCCACAGUGGGACGGAGACACGGCCCAGACUCCUACGGGAGGCAGCAGUGGGGAAUAUUGCACAAUGGGCGCAAGCCUGAUGCAGCAACGCCGCGUGAGGGACGACGGCCUUCGGGUUGUAAACCUCUUUUAGCAGGGAAGAAGCGAAAGUGACGGUACCUGCAGAAAAAGCACCGGCUAACUACGUGCCAGCAGCCGCAGUAACAC